GUCUGUAUGAAGUUAUAUAGAGUCUGACCUGCCCGUUGAAGAAAUUUGAAAGGCCGCGGUAUAUUAACUGUGCAAAGGUAGCAUAAUCAUUAGUUUUUUAAUUGAAAGCUUGUAUGAAGGGUUGGACAAAGAAAAAACUGUCUUUAAUUUUGGUUUUGAAGUUAACUUUUAAGUGAAAAGGCUUAAAUAAAUUUAAGGGACGAUAAGACCCUAUAAAUCUUUAUAUUAGAAUAUUUUUUUUUGAAAAUUAAUUUUUUGUCUAGAAUAAAGUAAAAUAUAUAAUAUUUUGUUGGGGUGACGAGAAUAUAAUUUUAACUGUUCUUAAGUAAAACAGAGGUAUUUGUUUUAGGUUAAUGGAUCCUUUUUAGAGAUUAAUAGAUUAAGUUACUUUAGGGAUAACAGCGUUAUUUUUUUUGAGAGUUCUUAUCGAAAAAAAAGUUUGCGACCUCGAUGUUGAAUUAAAAUUUCUCCGUGGUGUAGAAGUUGUGGUGAGAAAGUCUGUUCGACUUUUAAAAUUUU
rnacentral:rRNA from 1 species